GUGCUCGCUUUCUGCAGCACAUACUAAAAUUGGAAUGAUACAGAGAAGAUUAGCAUGGCCCCUGCACAAGGAUGACACACAAAUUGGUGAAGCAUUCCAUAUUUUU
ensembl:snRNA U6 U6 spliceosomal RNA